ACUAGUGAUUUCCGUAGGUGAACCUGCGGAAGGAUCAUUCGCACAAAGAAUAUCUUUUACACCCGCCACGCACCACACAGUGCUCUCUGUUUUUAAUCAGGAUUUAUAUCCAACUCGUCGAUGUUGCGAUUCCAUUGCAAUGUAUGCGAUGUUAUCUAUCUCUUGCGACGACGAAUGCCUUGGCUCGAGGAUCGUUGAAGGACGCAGCGAACUGUGCUAAACAUCUCGAAUUGCAGAUUUCCGAGAAAGAAAAGGAUUCUGAACGCACUUUGCGAAUUGACCUCGUGUCAGUUCACUUGAUUGGCGGUGACCGCAAUAUGCAGUCGCUCGAACUCCGAAGUUUGAGUGGUGUGCACGUGUUGUUGCAGAUUGUUGCACCGACAUGUUCGUAGAAUUCGACGCGCCUCUCGUUUUCGAGCAGCAUUAUGACUUCGUGUUAUGAUGUUCGAAAGCAGGGACCGUUUCUUGUUUGGGUUUCCAAACGAUUCUUUCGCACGCUCACGACCAGUCAAGGGAUUACCCGCUGAAUUUAAGCAUAUCAA
rnacentral:rRNA from 1 species